rnacentral:rRNA from 1 species
AGAGUUUGAUCCUGGCUCAGGAUGAACGCUGGCGGCGUGCUUAACACAUGCAAGUCGAACGGUGAACACGGAGCUUGCUCUGUGGGAUCAGUGGCGAACGGGUGAGUAACACGUGAGCAACCUGCCCCUGACUCUGGGAUAAGCGCUGGAAACGGCGUCUAAUACUGGAUAUGUGACGUGAUCGCAUGGUCUGCGUCUGGAAAGAAUUUCGGUUGGGGAUGGGCUCGCGGCCUAUCAGCUUGUUGGUGAGGUAAUGGCUCACCAAGGCGUCGACGGGUAGCCGGCCUGAGAGGGUGACCGGCCACACUGGGACUGAGACACGGCCCAGACUCCUACGGGAGGCAGCAGUGGGGAAUAUUGCACAAUGGGCGCAAGCCUGAUGCAGCAACGCCGCGUGAGGGACGACGGCCUUCGGGUUGUAAACCUCUUUUAGCAGGGAAGAAGCGAAAGUGACGGUACCUGCAGAAAAAGCGCCGGCUAACUACGUGCCAGCAGCCGCGGUAAUACGUAGGGCGCAAGCGUUAUCCGGAAUUAUUGGGCGUAAAGAGCUCGUAGGCGGUUUGUCGCGUCUGCUGUGAAAUCCGGAGGCUCAACCUCCGGCCUGCAGUGGGUACGGGCAGACUAGAGUGCGGUAGGGGAGAUUGGAAUUCCUGGUGUAGCGGUGGAAUGCGCAGAUAUCAGGAGGAACACCGAUGGCGAAGGCAGAUCUCUGGGCCGUAACUGACGCUGAGGAGCGAAAGGGUGGGGAGCAAACAGGCUUAGAUACCCUGGUAGUCC